UUUCUAGAAGAACUAUGUCAUAAACUUAAUAAUUUUGAUGUCAUUGUUCACUCAUCAGUCGCAUAUUUGAAAGUUGCUGGUCAAUAAAGAGUGAAGAAUUAUAAUACUAUAAGUUCAACUAAUAGACUCUACUAGCCCUUUUUAUUUAUAUAUUGAAAGGAGUGUGCAUAGUGCAUUUGCCGACUUUAAAUACUUUUUUGUUUACUAUGAAAUCAAUUAAUUAGUCGGUCGAAAUUAUUGCAAGUGUUUCUGACACGUGUGUUAUAUAUCUUUAUGGCUUCACUGGUAAAUGAUAAGAAAAUCUCGUAUGGGUUGCCAUGCAAAAAGCAAAAGCCAUCAAAUAUUAAAAAGGUUUAGCAAACGCACCCACAAAGUAUAACAACGAGGGGACGACAUUAGACAAAAUAAAAACGAUACAAAAAGAUUAGAAUGAUCUGUUUUUUUUCUAUCUCGACAAAAGAAGGAACCACGAGGGGCUUUCAAAAACUUUUAUUACACCAUAAAUAGUCUUUCUAAAACCGUUUAUUUUCACACCGAUAAAACAUUGACUGCAAUAUGAAGGUCAAAAUGAACAUAACAAAUCACUCAUUUAAACAUUAAAUCACCAGAAGCCCUUUUUCAACGAAAAAAAAACUUUAAAUCACUAGCCCAGUUAAUAUCAAAAUCUUGAGU
rnacentral:lncRNA from 1 species